rnacentral:rRNA from 1 species
UCCUACGGGAGGCAGCAGUGGGGGAUAUUGCACAAUGGGGGAAACCCUGAUGCAGCGACGCCGCGUGUGGGAAGACGGUCUUCUGGAUUGUAAACCACUGUCCCCAGGGACGAAAAUGACGGUACCUGGGGAGGAAGCUCCGGCUAACUACGUGCCAGCAGCCGCGGUAAUACGUAGGGGGCAAGCGUUAUCCGGAUUUACUGGGUGUAAAGGGAGCGUAGACGGCAGUGCAAGUCUGAAGUGAAAGGCAAGGGCUCAACCCUUGGACUGCUUUGGAAACUGUGCUGCUGGAGUGUCGGAGAGGC